AGACAUGAAGGCGAUCUGGCCCUGACAUCUGUCACCAGUGAUGGCCAGGGUUGAUUGUGCUGAUAGAACUAAAUAGACUGUUUCUUCUUUAUCCUUCACUGCCCCAUGUGUGUCUUUCCCAAAGCUGUGUAUUCAGUUGAAGAAGAGAAACUUCCUUGGUAGAGAGGAGGGCUGUUCUUUGGUUACAGGUAGCUUCAGUCUUCUGCUAGAAGUUCUAAACAUGCUCUGAUGAAGCAUCACAAGAAGGCCACAUCAUGAGCAGUACAGUGUUUGUUUAUUCAUUUAUUCGCUUAUUUGCAUGAAAGUGAGU
rfam:Dipodomys ordii contig_46372, whole genome shotgun sequence.